UACGUAGGGUGCAAGCGUUAAUCGGAAUUACUGGGCGUAAAGCGUGCGCAGGCGGUUAUGCAAGACAGAUGUGAAAUCCCCGGGCUCAACCUGGGAACUGCAUUUGUGACUGCAUGGCUAGAGUACGGUAGAGGGGGAUGGAAUUCCGCGUGUAGCAGUGAAAUGCGUAGAUAUCGUUUGGAACGCCAAUGGUGAAAACAGGUUGCUGGGAGUGUGCUGACGCUGAGACACGAAAGCCAGGGGAGCAAACGGG
rnacentral:rRNA from 1 species